rnacentral:rRNA from 1 species
GUGGGGAAUAUUGGGCAAUGGGCGGAAGCCUGACCCAGCGACGCCGCGUGGGGGAAGAAGUCUUUCGGGAUGUAAACCCUUGUUGUACGGGACGAAGGAAGUGACGGUACCGUACGAGGAAGCCCCGGCAAACUACGUGCCAGCAGCCGCGGUAAUACGUAGGGGGCGAGCGUUGUCCGGAAUCACUGGGCGUAAAGCGCACGUAGGCGGGCUGUCAAGUCGGCCGUGAAAGGCACGGGCUCAACCUGUGCAUGUCGGUCGAUACUGGCGGUCUGGAGUAUGGGAGAGGGAACUGGAAUUCCCGGUGUAGCGGUGAAACGCGUAGAUAUCGGGAGGAACACCAGUGGCGAAGGCGGGUUCCUGGCCCAUGACUGACGCUGAGGUGCGAAAGCCGGGGGAGCGAACGGGAUUAGAUACCCCAGUAGUCC